AGAAUUUGUUUUGUUUCUGUUCAUUGCCUACAUGGAAGACAGAAACUUACUGAAGAUCUGAAGUUCAUCCCAAUAAACUGACCUUAAUACUCUCAAAACAGUUGUGCAGUGUAUCAAUCAGCCCAGGGAUUCCUUUAAAGCACCUCUACUUGUGGUAGGUAGAAAAACUGGGAUGCACAAGUAGCCCCCUCUAUUCAGGGAGUGAGUUUGCCGAAAACUACGUAAUCACAACAGCAAGUUCUAAGGAGUUAUUCAGAAUACUGACAGACUUAAUGUAAUACACACACCACCUGGAGAUCUGCACUGAGAACCU